rnacentral:rRNA from 1 species
UGGGGAAUCUUGCGCAAUGGGCGAAAGCCUGACGCAGCGACGCCGCGUGAGUGAUGAAGGCCUUCGGGUUGUAAAGCUCUGUGGGGAGAGAAGAAUAAGUCGUAGUGAAUAUCUACGAUGAUGACGGUAUCUCCUUAGCAAGCACCGGCUAACUCUGUGCCAGCAGCCGCGGUAAGACAGAGGGUGCAAACGUUGUUCGGAAUUACUGGGCGUAAAGCGUGUGUAGGCGGUGAGGUAAGUCAGGUGUGAAAUCCCACGGCUCAACCAUGGAAGUGCACUUGAUACUGCUUCGCUUGAGUACUGGAGAGGUUGGUGGAAUUCUUGGUGUAGAGGUGAAAUUCGUAGAUAUCAAGAGGAACACCGGUGGCGAAGGCGGCCAACUGGACAGAUACUGACGCUGAGACACGAAAGCGCGGGGAGCAAACA